rnacentral:rRNA from 1 species
UGAGGAACAUGACUUUCGGCGGGGGAUAGCCGGCCCAACGGCCGGGUAAUACCGCGUACGACCUUUUGGGGACAUCCCCGAUUGGUGAAAGCAGCAAUGCGCCGAAAGAGUGCCUCGCGGCCUAUCAGCUAGUUGGUGGGGUAAUGGCUCACCAAGGCGACGACGGGUAGCUGGUCUGAGAGGAUGGCCAGCCACAUUGGGACUGAGACACGGCCCAGACUCCUA